UCUUGUACUUCCUACUGAAUUCAUAGGUAGGAAAGAGACAACUCAGUGAACUGAAACAUCUUAGUAGCUGAAGGAAAAGAAAGCAAACGCGAUUCCCUGAGUAGUGGCGAGCGAAAUGGGAACAGCCUAAACCAAGUUUCCAACUUGGGGUCGUGGGAAAACAACUAAUACCAAAAUCGAAAGAUAGUCCCAAAAAGAAAGGAAACCUUCUUGGUCCCAAAACGAAAGUUUUGGGAAAGGGACCGGUAUCAAUUCAAGAAAAUUUUAGACGAAGCAGCUGAAACCUGCACCAGAGAUGGUAAAAGUCCAGUAGUCAAAAAAAUCAACUGAAUUUCUGUUUAUCCCGAGUAACAUGGGACACGUGAAAUCCCGUGUGAAUCAGCGAGGACCACCUCGUAAGGCUAAAUACUCCUAGGUGACCGAUAGCGAAAUAGUACCGUGAGGGAAAGGUGAAAAGAACCCCUGUAGGGGAGUGAAAUAGAACAUGAAACCCUACGCUGACAAUCAGUGGGAGGCGCUUAAGCGCUGACCGCGUGCCUGUUGAAGAAUGAGCCGGCGACUUAGAAAAAGUGGCAAGGUUAAGGAAGUGUAUCCGGAGCCGAAGCGAAAGCAAGUCUGAAUAGGGCGAUUAUCAAAGUCAUUUUUUCUAGACCCGAACCCGGGUGAUCUAACCAUGACCAGGAUGAAGCUUGGGUAACACCACGUGAAGGUCCGAACCGACCGAUGUUGAAAAAUCGGCGGAUGAGUUGUGGUUAGCGGUGAAAUACCAGUCGAACUCGGAGCUAGCUGGUUCUCCCCGAAAUGCGUUGAGGCGCAGCGGUUCAGGAGGCUUUCUAGGGGUAAAGCACUGUUUCGGUGCGGGCUGCGAAAGCGGUACCAAAUCGUGGCAAACUCUGAAUACUAGAAAUGCUAUUUCUGAGCCAGUGAGACAGUGGGGGAUAAGCUUCAUUGUCAAGAGGGAAACAGCCCAGAUCACUAGCUAAGGCCCCAAAAUGAUCGUUAAGUGGCAAAGGAGGUGAGAAUGCAGAAACAACCAGGAGGUUUGCUUAGAAGCAGCCACCCUUUAAAGAGUGCGUAAUAGCUCACUGGUGGAGCGUUCUUGCGCCGAAAAUGUCCGGGACUAAAUGAUCUGCCGAAGCUGUGGGAUAUUUUGAGAAAAAAUAUCGGUAGGGGAGCGUUCUGCUGUAGGGUGAAGCAGUGAUGUAAGUCACUGUGGACGAAGCGGAAGUGAGAAUGUCGGCUUGAGUAACGCAAACAUUGGUGAGAAUCCAAUGCCCCGAAAACCUAAGGAUUCCUCCACUAGGUUCGUCCAUGGAGGGUGAGUCAGGACCUAAGGCGAGGCCGAAAGGCGUAGUCGAUGGCAAACAGGUUAAUAUUCCUGUACUAGUUCUUAUUUGGUACCGAGGGACGGAGCAAGCAGAGAUUGGCCGAGAUUGGAUUUCGGUGGAAACUAUCAACACGUUGAGAGGUAGAAGAAAAACUAACCUUGAGUGGAGAAGUGAUACGUUUUCAUCUUUUAGGUGAAAAUCAAUUGCCUGUUAUACUUCCAAGAAAAGCUCGUACUACUGUACAAUAAGAACUACCUGUACCGUAAACCGACACAGGUGGGUUGGUAGAGUAUACCAAGGGGCGCGAGAUAACUCUCUCUAAGGAACUCGGCAAAAUGACCCCGUAACUUCGGGAGAAGGGGUGCCAAGUAACUCAACAUUGCUUGGUCGCAGUGACCAGGCCCAGGCGACUGUUUAUCAAAAACACAGGUCUCCGCAAAGUCGUAAGACAACAUAUGGGGGCUGACGCCUGCCCAGUGCCGGAAGGUUAAGGAAGUUGGUUAUUCAUUCGUGGAGAAGCUGACGACCGAAGCCCCGGUGAACGGCGGCCGUAACAAUAACGGUCCUAAGGUAGCGAAAUUCCUUGUCGGGUAAGUUCCGACCCGCACGAAAGGCGUAACGAUCUGGGCGCUGUCUCGGAGAGAGACUCGGGGAAAUAGACAUGUCUGUGAAGAUGCGGACUAUCUGCACUUGGACAGAAAGAC
rnacentral:rRNA from 1 species